rnacentral:lncRNA from 1 species
CCUAUUGAAUCUCACAACAUAUGUUUGGAUAGCACUUCCCAGCCUACAACGCACUUUCUCAGGGAUUCUCAAACUUCCUCCCACCUCACAUCCUUUUAAGGCAAGUGAGUGUGGGAACUCUGGUUCAGGGAAGUUAAAUCACUUGCCUAAGGUCAUGCAGAUCAUUAAUGCCAUAGCCAAGACCUGAGCACGUUCUCCUAAAGCCAGGUCAGGCCUCUUGUCACAUACUCCAUUGACUCUAGUGCCUAACCCAUGCUCAUCACAGAGCUCACAUUGGAACCAUUGUUAAACAGACUCUAAUGGAAAUGACUUCGUUCAGCUGGUGAACAUUUUGGAAGAUUCCAGAAAAACAUGAACAAGUGUUUGAGUGCUCUUAAGGGGAUUGUCUAAUAUCUUGGCUCCUGACUCAUCCUUAGAAGUCUUCCAGCCACCUUGUACCCAUUUCAAGCCCAAGGGCUCUUUAACGUAAAUGAGUUACUGAGCAGAGUGUUGCUGGAGAUGGCCACUGGAGAGGCUGAGUCAAAUCAAUCUCCUCACCUGAGGACUUCCUAAGACCAGCGCACUGAAGGACCAGCAGCAACAACAACAAUAAUGCUAAUGCUCCCUUAUGGACAAGACUGCAAUUCUCUGCCUGCUGAAGCUCAGCUAUGACCACGUGACUUGCCUUGGCCAAUGAAAGAGGAAGAGUAUGUAACACUGCUGAAUGGAAGCAAGUGGCCCCUGCCCCUGCUGCAGAGAUUCUAGACAUGUGUGCCAUGCUGGAGCAAGGAGACAGGGAGUCCUGGAGAAAGGAGACAUGGAACAGAGCUCCCAGCCCAGUCAAUAUGUAACAUGAGUGAGAAAUAAAUAACACUUUGUUGCUAGAA